AUUGAACGCUGGCGGCAGGCCUAACACAUGCAAGUCGAGCGGAUGAAGGGAGCUUGCUCCUGGAUUCAGCGGCGGACGGGUGAGUAAUGCCUAGGAAUCUGCCUGGUAGUGGGGGAUAACGUCCGGAAACGGGCGCUAAUACCGCAUACGUCCUGAGGGAGAAAGUGGGGGAUCUUCGGACCUCACGCUAUCAGAUGAGCCUAGGUCGGAUUAGCUAGUUGGUGGGGUAAAGGCCUACCAAGGCGACGAUCCGUGACUGGUCUGAGAGGAUGAUCAGUCACACUGGAACUGAGACACGGUCCAGACUCCUACGGGAGGCAGCAGUGGGGAAUAUUGGACAAUGGGCGGAAGCCUGAUCCAGCCAUGCCGCGUGUGUGAAGAAGGUCUUCGGAUUGUAAAGCACUUUAAGUUGGGAGGAAGGGCAGUAAGUUAAUACCUUGCUGUUUUGACGUUACCAACAGAAUAAGCACCGGCUAACUUCGUG
rnacentral:rRNA from 1 species